UACGUAGGGUGCAAGCGUUGUCCGGAAUUAUUGGGCGUAAAGAGCUCGUAGGCGGUUUGUCGCGUCUGCUGUGAAAACUCGGGGCUUAACUCCGGGCCUGCAGCGGGUACGGGCAGACUAGAGUGCGGUAGGGGAGACUGGAAUUCCUGGUGUAGCGGUGGAAUGCGCAGAUAUCAGGAGGAACACCGGUGGCGAAGGCGGGUCUCUGGGCAGUAACUGACGCUGAGGAGCGAAAGCGUGGGGAGCGAACAGG
rnacentral:rRNA from 1 species